rnacentral:lncRNA from 1 species
UUUUUUUUUUUUUUUUUUUUAGGGCCACACCCACAGCUUAUGGAGAUUCCCAGGCUAGAGGUCAAAUCGGAGCUACAGCCACUGGCCUACACCACAGCUCAUGGCAAGCCGGAUCCUCAACCCAAUGAGUGAGGCCAGGUAUCAAACCCACAACCUCAUGGUUCCUAGUCAGAUUCAUUUCCACUGAGCCAUGAUGGGAACUCCUGGGUCUUGCUUUUUUUUAAAGUUUUAUUAAAGUAUAGUUGAUUUACAAAGUUGUGAUAAUUUCUGCUAUAAAGUGAUUCAGUUAUACAUAUAUACACAUCCAUUCUCUUUCAGAUUCUUUUCCCACAUAGAUUAUCACAGAAUACUGGGUAGAGUUCCCUGUGCUAUACAGCAGUUCCCUACAGGGCAACCAUUCCAACUACCCAGUGUGAAUAUGUCAGUCCCAAACCCCCAGUCCAUCCCUCCCCCAACCUGUUCCCUUUGGUAACUGUAAAUUGUUUUCAAAGUCUGAGUUUAUUUCUAUUCUGGAAAUAAGUUCAUUUGUAUCCUUUUCUUAGAUUCCACACACAAGUGAUACCAUAUGAUGUUUGUCUUUCUUUCUCUGACUUACUUUACUUAGUAUAAUAAUCUCUAGGUCUAUCCAUGUUGCUUCAAAUGGCAUUAUUUCAUUCUUUUUUAUGGCUGAGUAAUAUUCCAUUGUACUAUGUACCACAUAUUCUUAAUCUGACUUUUAUUACAGGGGUCUCAGCUAAGGACUCAGAAGGGUAGAUGAAAAAUUCUUUUUCCUCCCCUAUAAGCACUAUGUUAAAUUAACAAGGAUUUGUUUCCAGUCAUUGAGAGAUAUGUCUAAAGUUGGUAUAAAAUCUUCAUCAAAUUAAGAAAGCUCUAUCAUACUCCAACUUUGAGUUCAUACUUUAAAAAAAAUCAUAAAAAGGCACUAAGUAAGAUUUAUCUAGUUCAACUGACUUCAUGAUUUUUCUACUCUGGUUUCUUUUUUUUCUUUGAGAGUUAAGAUUUAUGUGAGGCAAAAAUAGGACUUCAGCCCUGGGGAGAAACCACCUACUGUGGUUUCUUAAUGUGGUGAAUUACAUUGGUAAAUUUUUCACUUUUGAACCAGUUUGGCUUUUCUAGGAUAAACUACUAGAUUUUGAAUAUGAUUUUUAAAAUACUUUUUGGAUUUUUUUUUUUAGCUAAUACUUUAUUUAGGAUUUUUUUUUUGCACUUACUUUCAUAAGUAUUUGGGGCCAAUAGUUUUCUUUUCAGAUAUUGUCCUUAUCUGGUUUCCACAUCAAGAAUUUUAGCCUUUGGAAUAGUUCUCAUCACAAGAAAAAAAAAUUUUUGUAACUAUUUAUGGUGAUGGAUGUUAACUGGAUUUAUUGCAGUGACGCUUCACAAUAAAUAUAAAUACCAAAUCGUUAUGUUGUACACCUGAAACUAAUACCUAAAACAAUAUAAUGUUAUAUGUCAAUUAUAUCUCAAUUUUUAAUGAAUAUAAAAAGGGAGUUCCCUCAUAGUGUAGUGGGUUAAGGAUCCAGUAUUGUCACUGCUGUGGCGCAGGUUUCAUCCCUGGCUCUGAAACUUCUGCAUGGUUUGGCCAAAGGAAAAAAAGUGAACAUAAAUGAAUGAAUGAACAAAUGAAAAAAGACUUUAGUCUUCAAAAGUGAGCUGGCCAUUUCUUGGAGUUCCCGUUGUGGCUCAGUGGAAACGAAUCUGACUAGGACCCAUGAGGAUGUGGGUUCAAUCCCUGGCCUCGCUCAGUGGGUUAAGGAUCUGGCGUUGCUGUGAGCUGUGGUAUGGGUGGAAAACACAGCUUGUAUCUGGCAUUUUUGUGGCUGUGGUGUAAGCCAGAGACUAAAGCUCUGCUUCAGCCCUUAGCCUAGGAACUUCCAUAUGCCAUGGCUGCAGCCCUACAAAGACCAAAAAGUAAAUAAAAAAGCUGGCCAUUUCUGAACUUUUUUAUUUUCUAGAAUAGUUUGCCUAGGAGAGAUUAAGUGAUUUGAAGAUUUGAUAGAACUCAUUAGUGAAAUCAGCUAGGUGUGGCUUUUUUUUUUUUUUUUUUUUUGGAGGAAAAUAUUUGACAGCCAUCUGAUUUUUUAUUUGGCCACAUCCACGGCAUGUGGAAGUUCUCAGGCCGGGGAUCAAACCUGCACCACAGCAGCAACCUGAGCCCCUAGAGUGACACUGCUGGAUCCUAAACACACUGCAUGAAAUUUUUUAAAACUUAGCCUUAAUUCUUUUUUUCAAAUCUGCAACAAAAAGUGGUGAUAUAAAAAUUUUAAAACAAGAGUCAAUCAUACUUCAAUUUUUAAAAGAUUAAAAGAGAUGAUAAAAAAGAUUAAGUUGAUAGAAAUUUUAAAACUAUGAAUUGGUUAAAAAAAAAAAUUGUACAAAUUGGGCUAACCAGUGACUGCUUCUCUGUGCCAGAAACAAAUACGGUAGUUUAUACAGAGAUGAGAGUACUAUGCUUUCUGCAUCCAGGAAUCCAGAACACUGAAGUGGACUUGUGUUUACUUGUCCCUCCUUCUGAGAAUGCAGAACUUCACUUGAGCCUUAUGAAACAUAAGCAUUGAGGCUAUGAGGUAUUUCUGGUGAAAUACAGACGAGCUAUUUCCAGGAAACAGGUUCCUUCUCCUCCAUAUAGUAGAGAACUCUGCUUCCUCACCAAAGAGGUCUGAAGAAAUUACUGACUGACAGGAAGUACAUCAAUGGAAGAUAAGAUGACCACUUCAAUCACUCGUGGGGUCAAGGAGACCUUCCCAAUUAUACAUGCGCAGUAAAACCCCUAGGGGUCAAAAAGGGAGGGGACGCCAGGCCAUAAGUCUUGAUACAGUCCUGGUGCCCUUCGUUUUGGAAUCCAUCUUUGCCAAAAGAUGCUCACCCUUAUCAGGGAGGAUCCUGUGUCCACUCAGGUGUGAGAAAUAAAACAAGAUAAUUGGCUAAAGGUAAACAAAGACCAGGAAAAACUGCCACGUGAGUUAAAUCACCUCUCUGGCGCCCUCCUCACUGAGGGGAACACCUGCACCUGCACCUGCACUCCUCUUUAGGGUGUAUUUUACUUCAUUGCUUCUGACUUAAAUAAACUACUUCUCUGUGUGCUCUCCCACAUGAUGUACUCUGACGCUAGCAAUAAACUUUGUACCUGUUUUCACAGUCUUUGCCUCCUUGAAAUAUUCUUGCUUUCAACAGGAGGCAAGAAUCAGGGCAAUUCUACUUUUAGCCUCUAACUAGUGGUUGUGAUUCCCGGUUUUCAACCAGGGUGCCCAGGCUCAAUUCCUGAGCAGAAAAUUAAGAUCUCGCUCCAAGCCAUCACUCACUGCUGUCUCUCUGAGAUCAAAUGUAUUUCAAACAAAACAAAACAAUACACAAUUAAACAGUGAUUAGUGUCUCAAACUACCAGCACAGCCUUAUACUUGGGGAUGUUAACUGUAAGUACCCUGGAAGCUGGAAUUAGAAGCCUAGAACCAUCUACAAUACAAUGCCAUCAUCUAGCCUGUGAACCCACUAACCAUUUGGGGUAUUGUAUGAGAAAAUGCUUUCGAAGCCCCAAAUCUUAGGAAAAUGAAGCAGAGAAUCACAAAUCAGUGAUUCCCCACUACCUUACUCUUACACUGACCUGGGACUCUACAACUUGUUUACUCAGGAAAACAUGUUGACUUCAAGCAUUUCCAAUGUAUAUACAUGUCUACCACAAAACAUUGACUUAGAUACAUUUUUUUGUUUUUUGUCUUUUCUAGGGGCGCUCCGGCGGCAUAUGGAAGCUCCCAGGCUAGGGGUCUAAUUGGAGCUCUAGCUGCUGGCCUACACCAGAGCCACAGCAACACGGGAUCCGAGCCGCGUCUGCGACCUACACUACAGCUCACGGCAAUGUUGGAUCCUCAACCCACUGAGCAAGGCCAGGGACUGACCUCGCAACCUCAUGGUUCCUAGUCAGAUUCAUUAACCACUGAGCCACGAUGGGAACUCCAUGUUGUAUCAUUCUUUACCAUUGAAUUUCCUUACACAAACCCUAAGUAUAUCAUUUAAAUUUAUGGGAGGAGUUCCCUGGAGGUUCAAUGGGUUAAGGAUCUAGCGCUGUCACUGCUGUGGUUUGGGAUGCUAUUCUGGUGUGGGUUUGAUCCCUAAAAACCAUAAUUCAAAAAGAUACAUGCACCUCAACGUUCACUGCAACACUAUUUACAAUAGCCAAGACUUCCAUGUCUAAGUGUAGUGAAUGUCCACUACAUUGUAGUCCACUGACAGGAAUAGAUUAAGAAAAUGUGUAUACGUAUCUAUAUAAUGGAUAUAUAUAAUGGAAUAUUAUUCAGCCAUAAUAAAGAAUGAAAUAAUGCCAUCUGCAGCAACAUGGAUGGAUCUAAAGAAUAUCAUACUGAGUGAAGUCAGAGGAAGACAAACAUCACAGGAUGUUACCUAUAUGUGGAAUCUAAGAAAAACAGUACAGAAGGAUUUAUUUAUAAACAGAAACAAACUCACAGAUUUCAAAACAAAUCUUAUAGUUACCACAGAUGAAAUCAUUGAGGGGAGGGAGUAAAUGGGAGGGUGGGAAUAAAAUAUACACACUACUGUAUAAAAUAUAUGGUUAACAAGAACCUACUUGUACAGCACAGGAAAAUCUACUCAGUAGUUUGUAAUAACCCUUGCGGGAAAAAAGAAUGGAUAUAUUUGUAUGUAUAACUGAUUCACUUUGCUGUACACCUGAAACUAAUACAAUAUUGUAAAUCAACUAUACUCUAAUAAAAUUUUUUAAAAAAGAAUCCCAGAGUUGGCUCUAUGUUUAAUAAAAUUAUGACUUUUGAUUAGUAAUUCUGGCUACUGAACAGCCCAAGAAGAAACACGUAAUGCAUUAAGCCUUUCUACUAGCUUCUAUAUUGGAAUAAAUCUGUAUGUCUCAUGCCCAGAAAUGAGAAUGUGUCCAUGAUGCUAUUAUAAAUCACCAUACACACAGCGCAUUACAUACCCUUCAGUUUAGAUGUUUGCUGUUUUCAAGGCUCUUCCCAUGAGGUUACCAAGAAGAUCCUUCUGAGAUUUUGUUCCUUGGAGGAAGGAGGGUAGUUAGGUCCAAGGUGACUCGAGCAUCUUCUAAUUAUUCCAUCCACUUUCCAGCUAGCAACUGUGAGACUGAGAGGAUCAAAAGGACUGGGGACUGCUUGGGAAGUUUUUUGUUUUGUUUAAUCCUGUAAAUAUAUAUUCUUGUUUCUAAGGCAUCAAUUUCUUCUGUCCCAGCAUGUUUUCUUUAUUGGUUACUCACACAAUGAUAACAAUUAUUUGCAUUGAGUGCCCACUGGCUCCUGGGAAUUCUGUUGAUUUAAGUGCCACUAUCAGGGGAAGAGGUUCAUGCUCUGUUCUCCAACUACCAAUGAACACAAGCUCAGACCCAGCAGCUACCAGGCUUGAGUCUGUAGAGAGUGGUGACUGGCAGCCCAGAGCUAGGGAGCCACACACUCACAGCUCACAGCAGGGCAGUUGGGAGGAGGGAGGAAAGCCAUCAACAGAAGCAGCUAGCUCUUGCCCCACCCUGGAUCCUGGCAGCUGGUGGGCAAAGCCCUACUAUAAGAUGUGACAAUCACACAACUGUCCUUGGAGCCACUGAGCUCUAAUGAUGAGCUCCAGGCUCAAAGAAGGUACUGGGCCACUCUCCAUUCAUCAGCCUAGCUUUUUUUGGAUCUAUCUGUUGAGGACAGCAGAGAAUCCCAGCCUCAAUCUUGUUUUGAACUGAAUUGUUAGUUCAGGCAACAGAAAAAGCAGUUGAGACCCUCAUCAGGAAGUCUCACAUUGCUCCCUUUAUUAUUUAAGACAGGAUAUCCUAUUCUAAGGAUGUAUGAAGGGCUUGGUCAUAUAUAUACACUGAAGGGUCAGAGGGAGGAAGUUCCUGCAAAUGGUUUCUCUCUCAAGCCUCCUAACUAGCUGUAGACACAUUCCCCCAAAUCAGUUAGAUUUUGGAUUAGGGAAUUUAGAACUUUUUUUUUUUUCCCACCACUGGUGGUAUAAAUGACAUUCUGAAAAGAUAAAGGUAACAAUAG